rnacentral:rRNA from 1 species
GGGUUGUGAGGUUAAGCGACUAAGCGUACACGGUGGAUGCCCUGGCAGUCAGAGGCGAUGAAGGACGUGCUAAUCUGCGAUAAGCGUCGGUAAGGUGAUAUGAACCGUUAUAACCGGCGAUUUCCGAAUGGGGAAACCCAGUGUGAUUCGUCACACUAUCAUUAACUGAAUCCAUAGGUUAAUGAGGCGAACCGGGGGAACUGAAACAUCUAAGUACCCCGAGGAAAAGAAAUCAACCGAGAUUCCCCCAGUAGCGGCGAGCGAACGGGGAGCAGCCCAGAGCCUGAAUCAGUGUGUGUGUUAGUGGAAGCGUCUGGAAAGGCGUGCGAUACAGGGUGACAGCCCCGUACACAAAAAUGCACAUACUGUGAGCUCGAUGAGUAGGGCGGGACACGUGGUAUCCUGUCUGAAUAUGGGGGGACCAUCCUCCAAGGCUAAAUACUCCUGACUGACCGAUAGUGAACCAGUACCGUGAGGGAAAGGCGAAAAGAACCCCGGCGAGGGGAGUGAAAAAGAACCUGAAACCGUGUAC